AGCGAACGCUGGCGGCAGGCCUAACACAUGCAAGUCGAACGAACUCUUCGGAGUUAGUGGCGGACGGGUGAGUAACACGUGGGAACGUGCCUUUUGGUUCGGAAUAACUCAGGGAAACUUGUGCUAAUACCGAAUGUGCCCUUCGGGGGAAAGAUUUAUCGCCAUUAGAGCGGCCCGCGUCUGAUUAGCUAGUUGGUGAGGUAACGGCUCACCAAGGCGACGAUCAGUAGCUGGUCUGAGAGGAUGACCAGCCACACUGGGACUGAGACACGGCCCAGACUCCGACGGGAGGCAGCAGUGGGGAAUCUUGCGCAAUGGGCGAAAGCCUGACGCAGCCAUGUCGCGUGAAUGAUGAAGGUCUUAGGAUUGUAAAAUUCUUUCACCGGGGACGAUAAUGACGGUACCCGGAGAAGAAGCCCCGGCUAACUUCGUG
rnacentral:rRNA from 1 species